UAAAUUUCUCAGCUCUGUUUUUGACUAGGCCAUAUGCUGGGAAUUGUGUCCUGAGACAACAGAAAUCCUGGGUGCAGGUGGAAUAGUGUUGCCAUCCUCUGGACCCUUGUACCUCCAGCUUGUCUGUCUGCAGUGGGCAGGCCCUUGAGGUCUACCUCAAACUCUGUGGCUGGAAAAAUGACCCAGUCUAUCUGAGCAGUGGUGAACUCCCCAGAUUGGUCUGGUCACAUCAACUAAAAUAGGACAAAAGUAGGAGACACCAAUGACCAGAUGCAUGAAGAACAAAGAAGGAGGAAAGCAGUCCUGAAAAUAGAAAUCACACCAAAAAAUAGAUGAUGAGUUGAUGAUGCCCCGAGGCCUUUGUUCAGGAACAUGCUGGCACUGUAAAGAGGAACACGACAGUACCACAUUCUUCUGUGAAGUGUGAGCGGCUUUUUCCUAAAGAAUUCUCCCUAGAGAAGGCCUUGUGGGUUGUGGCUAGCUCUGCUUUCCGUUUUUAUCCAGACGUGUUCUUUAAGGCAAGUAUUACUCUCUUUCAAGGACUGCUCUAUCAUCACAUUAACAAUAAGAUAAACAAACUUGACAAAAAUCCAUGGAAAACACUAACCAUGGCCAUUGCUUAUUUCUGGUCCCAGGUAUUCCGUUUGUGCUCACAGUUAAAAAGCAGUCACGGCAGCUGUGUGCGUUCUGUAUCACUUGUUCCCCGUAAAUAAA
rnacentral:lncRNA from 1 species